UACAAAUUAUAAAUUAUUGGCGCCCUGGAAAACGUAAACAAGUGUUUACUGGUGUUUAUUAAAUAACGAAUAACGUAUUAAUUAUUAAUUAUUUUCAGUACACUAAUUAAAACUUCUUUUCAUUUAUGAGUCUAUUAUUUGUGCAACAUUAAAGUGCUAUUUUUAUUUCAGAUUAAAAUAUGUCGAACAAAUUAUCUCAAAAAAGCAUCACAUCAUUUUUCAAACCUAGUACGGGCAACGAAAAAGAUCAACAAGGUAGUCCAAAUGAGAAAAAACGUUUUAGAAGUUCAAGUAGUGGUAAUUCAGAAGUUGAGAAGUAAGUAGUUUUUUUUCUGGCUAUAGAAAUUAAUGACACA